rnacentral:ncRNA from 1 species
CUGAGCCUAUGAUUGAGAAACGAGUAUCUUUAAAGUCUUAUUUUAAGCGAGUAGAAAAUGGUGAAAGUCUACAAUAUAUUAAAGAGAAAGAGAGUCUCUUAGGAACUUAUGAAGAAUAUUUGAGUAUUCAAAUAAAAAGUGAGUCGUUGACUGCGUUAAAGUUGAAAGUGGAUAGCUUGCUAUCAAUUAGAGUGGUACCGCGAAAGAUUCGUCUCUUUG